rnacentral:rRNA from 1 species
GAUGAACGCUGGCGGCGUGCCUAAUACAUGCAAGUCGAGCGAACAGAUGAGGAGCUUGCUCCUCUGACGUUAGCGGCGGACGGGUGAGUAACACGUGGAUAACCUACCUAUAAGACUGGGAUAACUUCGGGAAACCGGAGCUAAUACCGGAUAAUAUAUUGAACCGCAUGGUUCAAUAGUGAAAGACGGUUUUGCUGUCACUUAUAGAUGGAUCCGCGCCGCAUUAGCUAGUUGGUAAGGUAACGGCUUACCAAGGCAACGAUGCGUAGCCGACCUGAGAGGGUGAUCGGCCACACUGGAACUGAGACACGGCCCAGACUCCUACGGGAGGCAGCAGUAGGGAAUCUUCCGCAAAGGGCGAAAGCCUGACGGAGCAACGCCGCGUGAGUGAUGAAGGUCUUCGGAUCGUAAAACUCUGUUAUUAGGGAAGAACAAAUGUGUAAGUAACUAUGCACGUCUUGACGGUACCUAAUCAGAAAGCCACGGCUAACUACGUG